GUAUAGCUGAACUAUUACUUGGGAAAAAAAUAAAAAGGGCGGGGGAUAGAAAAGGUGAUUUUGGCCUGGUAUCCAUGUUUUUAAGGAAAACUGAUGAAAUGCUCUGUGAUCUUCCUCCACCAGCCCUGCCUAUUAAUUUUCUUUCCAAUUCCUCUCUUGUAAACUUUCUUCUCCUGUUAUGGAAGUUCCUCGUCUGAUUUAAUCUCUUUGUACCUGCCUCCCUUUCAGUCUCUUGAUCCCCACUGUAACUUUUCUCACCUAUUUACUUAUGUUUUCACUCUCUUUGGCAUGGUGGUUUGGUUAUUUCUAGUAAAAAAGAAAAUUGUUCCCAAUCUUGCUGCCUCAAUCAUUCAUUACUGUAUGCCUUCCUGUUCCACCUUGGAGCUCAAGGAGUGCUGUAUAUAUUCUGUUUAUGAAUAUAAAUAUUCAGUGCUAUAUAUAUUCUUCAUUAUAUUCAGCUUUCUUUAAUAAUUUUAUCUCAACUCCCCUUUCAAACCAAGCUCCUGCCCACUUCACUACAAUAAAAUUAUGUUUUUGCCAAAAAUCUUCUCUUACCAAAAUUCCAUCCUCAUCCUUUUUUACCUUCCAGUCUCUUCCAACACUACUGACUUCUUUCUCUUUGCUAAAAAUAUUUUCCUUCCCUGUUUUCUAUAUACCCAUUUUUUUUCUGGUUCUCCUAUUUUCCAAGUUUCCAUCAGAAACCUUCCUCUGCUUCCAAAUUUGUGUUCUUCUAUCAAAGGUCCUCCUCUUUUAUUUCUUUGCUUAUUAUCAACAUCUUAAAAUUUCAUACCUCAUAGACUUGUUUUAAAUGUGUCAAAAUAUCUUUCUUUCCAGAUUUAAGAAAUAAUAAUAAUAAUUAAUAAUAAUAAUACUUUUCUGCCUUGGAAAGUAAUACCCUAACUCAGAUAUAUUUCAAAAUACUGCAGCAGAAAUUAUUUUUCUAGCCUGUCACCAAGUCUCUUUGUUCUGUGCAUAGUUUCAUUUGAUCCUUUUUGAUUAUAAGCGUUAUGAAUCACUUGACUUCACUUUCUUGGCACUUCACAACCUCUUUCAAUUCUAUUGUUCCCAUUUGCUACCAAGAAGCCAACUCCCACUUCAACUGUUCAUAUUUCUGAUGCCAUCACCCAAGCAAGUACUUUUUCAACCAAGAAGUUACAUUUAUCCCUUUCUACUUGGAGAAAAAGUCCUAUAAGCAUUUCUCUCUUUAAUUUCUUCCAAAUUUUUGUUUUAAUUCAACAUCAGAAAGAAAAGAUUUGAGCAAUUACUAGGGAUGCAAUGACAGUCUGUCCAAAAUGGAGGGAGCUGCAUGAGCAAAUCACAAUGAGAAUUUUCCAGCCAAACUGAGCCUUCUGGAUAAAAUACAAUACUUUGACCCCAUAGACAUAUUAAAGAAUCCAAAAUACUAUGUGAGUAAGCUUUUGUGCACAUUGAAAGAAAAGUUUACAAAAACAGCACAUGGAGAUGCAUGUUAUGUGGCAAAGCUAGAACAAACCAGCAUAAUACCUGGCACUUGGAAAAAGAGGUAAGAGAUAAUGGAUAUUGGAUCACUAUAAAAACAACACAAACAACAAAAUAGUGACUGUAUACUUUCCCAGCAGGAAUUUUUCAAUGCUAUAGUGUUAGUACAGCAGAAGAAGAUGAAUGCACUAUUGGCCUGAAAUCAAAUAGAAUGUUGCUUGAGAUAUUAGAGAUAUGCAAAGCCACAGUUGCAUGUGCAACAGAGCUCAACCUAUUUGUAUUUAUACUUAAAGAAAAGAUUUGCACAAAUCUUUUUUAUAAAUAAAGAUUUCAGGUUGGGACUUAAAGUUAUAACCAUACACAAAAUAAGCAUUUAUCAUAUUAAGUAUGUGGGCAAAUAAACUGAAACAAUAUUUGUAACAAUAUCUAGUAAAAAAAAAAAAAA